GUUGGGCACUCUAAUGAGACUGCCGGUGACAAACCGGAGGAAGGUGGGGAUGACGUCAAGUCCUCAUGGCCCUUAUAGGUAGGGGCUACACACGUCAUACAAUGGUCGGUACAGAGGGUUGCCAACCCGCGAGGGGGAGCUAAUCCCACAAAGCCGAUCGUAGUCCGGAUCGCAGUCUGCAACUCGACUGCGUGAAGUCGGAAUCGCUAGUAAUCGUGGAUCAGCAUGUCACGGUGAAUACGUUCCCGGGUCUU
rnacentral:rRNA from 1 species